rnacentral:rRNA from 1 species
CCUACGGGAGGCAGCAGUGGGGAAUAUUGGGCAAUGGGCGCAAGCCUGACCCAGCAACGCCGCGUGAAGGAAGACGGCUUUCGGGUUGUAAAGAUCUGUUGACAGGGACGAAUAAGCAAUGCGAAUAGUUUUGUGUAUGACGGUACCUGUUUAGAAAGCUCCGGCUAACUACGUGCCAGCAGCCGCGGUAAUACGUAGGGAGGCAGCGUUGUCCGGAAUUACUGGGCGUAAAGGGCGAGUAGGUGGGCGCUUAAGUCAGGUGUGAAAACUCCGGGCCCAACCUGGAGACUGCACUGGAAACUGGGGGUCUUGAGGGCAGGAGAGGAAAGUGGAAUUACUAGUGUAGCGGUGAAAUGCGUAGAUAUUAGGAGGAACACCAGUGGCGAAGGCGACUUUCUGGACUGUACCUGACGCUGAGGCGCGAAAGCGUGGGUAGCGAACGGGAUUAGAUACCCUUGUAGUC